UCGCGGCUUACCACCGGCAGUCCUCUUAGAGUCCCCAGCAUUACCUGAUGGCAACUAAGAGCAGGGGUUGCGCUCGUUGCGGCACUUAAGCCAACACCUCACGGCACGAGCUGACGACAGCCAUGCAGCACCUGUGCUGGCCCCUUACGGACACGGGCUUUCACCCGCUUUAACCAGCAUGUCAAGCCCAGGUAAGGUUCUUCGCGUUGCAUCGAAUUAAGCCACAUGCUCCGCCGCUUGUGCGGGCCCCCGUCAAUUCCUUUGAGUUUCAACCUUGCGGUCGUACUUCCCAGGUGGAUCACUUAAUGCUUUCGCUUAGUCGCUGACUGUGUAUCGCCAACAACGAGUGAUCAUCGUUUACGGUGCGGACUAC
rnacentral:misc_RNA from 1 species